CUUGUUGCUGAGACCGGAAAAUUCUGGAUUGUUCUUCUUGUCUUUCGCCAUUUUAAACUCGUCAGCCCAGCCAACUGAGGUUCAACUGAGCCAAGUGAGGUCCGAACCCUUGUGACUGCCUGUCCUGCUCGGGGAUGAUGAGUCUGCUUUUUUUUAGUCAUGUUUGGUGUCUGAUCAUCGCAAUUCUAUCCUUGAUGUGCCAGUGGGGAUCUUAUUGGAGCACACCGAUCUUCAGCCCCCCAACUCCUUGCAUUUCAAUUCCUCAAUUGGCAUAAUUCUUGAAGGUCAAAUGGUGAUGGACAAGAUGCCGGACCUCACACAAGCAAUGUGUGUCCUCUUUGGGCUAAUUUAUGCGUUAGACCUGAAUUACCCCAAAUCCCUUGCAAACACUUUUGAUUUUAUACAGCGGGUACUGAUGUCAAUGGGACAGAAUGCCCUCAAGCUCAAAGUACAGUCUUUGGCAAACCAGCUUUACUGUUAAAAAUGUUUAG